UGUUCAGGGUCCUCAUCCCCCACCCUCCAGAAGGCUUGUGGGACGGAAGGGCAGAGGCAUGCAAAGCUGCCCUCUGUUCCUUGUCCCCUGGUGGGAACAGUCCACUAUGCACAGUCUAGGGUCAGCUCCGCCCCUGCUGAGGCCCAUUAUCUCCUCCCCAUGGACCACAGGCCCUGCCCACGGGCUGGUGCAGGGGGUACCCGGGAGCCCACACUCGGCAUAGAGGCUGUGCAGGGCUGGAGUGGUGGGGGGCUUCCUGGAGGAGAGGGUGCUGAGGUCACUGCGGGCAAGGGCAGCACAGAGGGAGGAGGUAGGCAUGAGCCACCCAGAUCAGCCUGGGUGUGGAGCAGGGCUGAGCUGGGAGAGGGCAGGAGCCCCUGGGAGCCUUGGGUGCCAGGGUUGGGCCAGCCCCCACGUUGGGGGCUGGUGGGAGCGGGAGGGCUUGGCCUGCAGCCUGGAUGCCUCCGUGCUGCCCUGGGAGGGCUGAGGGGCCUCCGGGUGAGAGACGGAACUGGACACUUUCUGACACAGCAGCAGGUGGUUCUUUGGGCGCACCUCGCGCUCGGAAGCUCUGCAUCGGCUGCAGGCCGAGGGCGUCGAGCCAGGGGCCUUCCUGGUCAGGGUCAGUGAGAAGCUGGGCACUGCGUUCUCGCAGGUACGGCCUCCCACACCUUCUCCCCCGUCUGUGGCCCCACCUGCACUUGGCCUCAGGGCUCCUUGCCCCUGGCCUGUUCUCCUGGCCCAUCCCCCUCCGUCCAUCUGCCACAACCCGGCCCAGCCUCCCCUCCAGUGGGUGGCUUGUCCCUGGGGUCCCGCUGGGUCUGGGUUUUCUUCGCCGGGAGACGGGCCAUGGGGCGGGAUGCCUGGCCCGCGAGGGCCCCUCUGAGGGGAGGGGCUGGGACUGCAUGCCCACGUCCACUGGGCUCUCCCCCCACUCCUGAAGUGUGGGACGGGCAGGCCGUGAGGCAUCACAGGAUCUGGCGGCGCGAUGGCCGGCUGCACCUCAGCGAGGCUGCAUCCUUCCCCGGCCUGGCUGAGCUCCUGGAGCACCACAAAGCCCAGAGCCUGCCCCACGACCUGCGGCUGACCGUGCCCUGCUGGAAGGACCCCAAGCCCCUGCCCCACUGUGAAAACUGGGAGAGACCGCGGGAGUUCACGCUCUGCAGGAAGCUGGGGUCCGGGUACUUUGGGGAGGUCUUCGAAGGCCUCUGGAAAGACCGCGUCUGAGUGGCUAUUAAGGUGAUUGCUCAAGAUGACCUCCUGCACCAGCACACGUUCCAGUCGGAGAUCCACGCCAUGAAGAAGCCGCACCUGGUGUACAUCGUCACAGAACUUGUGCCCAGGGGGAGCCUGCGGGACCUGCUAUGGGGAACUGGAGAAAACACAGAGAAGUACAAACAAGGCGAGAAAGGCUGUAAUUCCUACAUGCAGUUAACUGAGGCCAUUUUAUUCCAAUGCCAGGCGAGGCCCGCCCACCCCCCAGCUUCCGGAACAUGCAGGUCUGGCUCGACUUUUCUCUCUGGAAGGUGCUGGCUCUUCUUGCGGUAUCUGGAUGUGCAUGAACACUUCCACCCGCGUGCACACCCCCUCAACACACACGAUGGGUCUCACGGACUCACAGACCCCAUCACCUGUCACAGCGCCUAUUAUUUCAUUUAACACCCAAACCAAACACAAUCGCUGCUAGCUAGCCGAGGUGCCACGGCGCACGGACACAGCCCCAAGUCACGGGGCUCAAGUGGCACCGAGUGGGUGCUGCAGGAAUGUGACAUCCAGGGCGCAUGUGCCCUGGCAGAUUUUUACAUGGCGACGCUGAUCACCAAACAUAGCCUUUUUCACAAGUCUGAUCACUGCGGCCAGGUCCCCUCAUCAGAGGUUCUUCGGGAUGGCGCGCCAGAGCAGACCACGUCCACGAGCUGUGCCCAUUCAGCCAUUUACCUGGUGUUGAACCUCUCUGAGGUUUUCGACUGUGUAGACAUCCCUCUCGCUUUAGUGCAGAUUCCCGGAAAGGAUAUUGGGGGCAAAGGGUACGAGCGAGCUGUGCUUCGGCUCAAACCCAUAACCGCCUCCCAGAAGGGCUGUGACGGUCCCCCUGGGCCAAGGUGAGGCAGCUGCCCCAUCCCGGCCCGGUCCCCAAGCCCGGCGGGACGCAGAGCCCCUCUGACUGCCGCUCUCCGGCCCCGCAGACUCUGAGACAUCCCUGCCCGUCUCGGAGCUGGUAGACUUUGCUCACAGGUGGCUGAGGGCAUGUGCUACUUGCAGUCACAGAAUUACAUCCACCGGGACCUGGCUGCCAGGAACAUCCUUGUGGGGGCCAACAUCUGCGAAGUGGGGGACUAGCCAGGCUCAUCAAGGAGACAGAGUGGACGGAACGGUGUCCUGAGCCCCCUGCACCCAUCGGCCCCUACCAGCCCCCCAGCCUCCUUCCACGCAGUUAGACCUGAGUCCCCACGCGCCCACUUCAGGAUCUCUACAAGGACCCCAAAGAAAAACAGCCACAAUCACACUUUUGAUACUUAACAGGGACUCCUUACAAUUAUCACAUGCCCCCACGUACAGAGCUGUUUCCAAGUUCCUGAAAGCCAUGACGUCAUUAGUCUGCUCCUGGAGCGGACCCGGGUCACAACGGCUCGACUGCUUCUUCCGGCUGUUCUCACCCUCUGGGGCUGGCGCCCUCCGCUCGGGCGCUGUGGGGCACUGAAGGCCGAGUCCAGGGCCCUUCGCCCCCGGGCGGCUGUCCUGAUGCUGCAGUUCCUUCCUCACCAUAAGCUGGAUGCUUCUAGAGAGGCAUUUUCCUCAUCCACUCGGUGACCAGCUGCGGGGCAGGCCAGGCGGGAAGGCAGGCUAAGCAUGACUCUUCCAGCCCUUCAGAGCGUGUCCAGGGGGAGCUGGGCAGCUCUGUGAGCCUGUGGUGUGAACACGCCUGCACAGGCUGCUCUGCGGCAGUCACACCGUGCACAUGCUCACGCUGGCCCACUUGUGUGGUUUUGACACCGCCGGGCAGCAGGCCUCGCUUACCCUGGCCCUGACCUGCCAGCUCAGCCCACCUGCGCCCCCCCCUCCCCCCCGCCAAUCGGAGGGAAAGCAGCACCUCCCUCUAGUGGCGGUCGUCAGUGCCCGGCUGCACUGGCCCAUGAGAACCCCAUCCCCCUGUCCGCGCGGCUGGGGUGGGAGGGGUGAGGGCAGCCGCUGAGGCCCAGCCCACACGUGUCCGCUUGCAGGAGGACAUCUACCUUUCCCACGACCACAACAUCCCCUACAAGUGGGCCGCCUCCGAGGCCCUCUUCCGAGGGCUUUACUCCCAUCAAAUCUGACAUCUGGUCCUUCGGGAUUCUUCUCCAUGAGAUUUUCAGCAGGGGCCAGAUGCUCUAUCCAGGCAUGUCUAACCACGAGGCCUUCCUGAGGGUGAACUCAGGCUACCGCAUGCCCUACCCCCCGGAGUGCCCACCCGCCGCACACAGGCUCU